AUGGAAUCACCAGACGAAGAAAUGUCGCCUGUCAAACGCUUGUUAGCCGGCUAAUGCUAACUGAUGCUACACAAACGCUGAUUCUUGAUAUCGUGCUUCCUGUGGACAGUGAUGGAGCUGGAGUGGGAAGAUCCUCCGGUUCCUGAUGGUCCAUUCUUCACCAGAGAUCUCUAUGAUAAAUAUUCCCUUGCACCUAAUAUCAGAGAACUGUGGGCCUUUCUCCAAAGUCCUGAAGAGAACAUAAAAGAAGGAAGUGAUGUCGUGGCUGCAAAAGCCUCCAGCUCUCAUCCUGCAGAAGUCGCUGCAGAGUUUAAAAACAAGAGCUGGGACAGCUGUGAUAGUGACGAUCCACUUGCAGACAAUGCUGCAAAAGGUGCAGGAGAAUGCAAGGGUGCCAAAAAAUCCAAAGGAAAGGUCAGUCAGGUUGAGAAUGAUGCCCGGGCUGCUUUCCCUGAACCCAGACUGCCCUACCCUUGUGUGUCCACCCUGUCCAGCAAAGACCAGAACGCAUAUCUUGGCUAUUUGAUGAGUAAGAAAACCAUGGCUCCUCCACAGUUUCAGGGUUUAAAGGCACAAGUAGACAAAGAAGUGAUGCAGUUCAUGUGGUACUUGCAAGAUGUGGCCAGAGUGUGUGUUGAUGACUACAACUUCAUAUCACAGGGAGCUAUGCAAUAUUCCGAGGAUUUCUUCAGGAGCUGUUUGGAUUACAUGAUGACGAUUCCUCAACUCUACCAAAUCCACGAGAUGACGAGUUUGACGGGGGGCACGUUCAACCCAGGGCUGACGCUGACCUUCGAAAAACAGCUUCUCAUCAUGGGCAAUGUGGAUAUUACAGACCACAAGAUAGUGCCUGCUGAUGCACGGCUUGCAUCGGAUUAUCACAGUGUUUCAUCAGAGAAUCCUCCAGCUAAAAAGGCUAAGGACAUGCACGCUACAAUCAGCAGUGAUGGUAAUGCAGAGAAGCUGUGUGCACGUUAUGAGCCUCAUGUGUGUAUGACUCGAGAUGCCUUGGUCAAGCUGCUGGACAACCAUGGUCCUGACUUUGGGGAGCCAUGGGAGCUGCCUGUUUGGAUCAAAUCAAAUCCAGGAAAAGGCAGUAGUCUCAAGAAGACGGUGUACAUAGACUCCCCCCUGCUUAAGACUGAAAUGACAGUGAGAGAGAGGAGUCGCUUCUACCAUGAGGAGAGUUUGAAGCUCUCCAUCAUGAAGAAUGGAAGAAAAAAAGUGUUUAAUUUAAUGACAGAACUUCCUGUCAGUGAACAGCAACCCACUCCGGAGAGCUCACAAAGAAAUGUAGUGUCCUUUGAAAACGAGAGUCUUGAUUUUGAGAUGGACCUCACUGACCUGGAGACAUUCGGGGAGACGUCGACCGUUAAAGUCUCCAAGAUGCAGAAAGUACAGACUGAGAAGCAUGUAGGUGUCAAAAGUACAAAAGCUACAAGUGUCCCACCUGUACGUAAGAAGAAAAUGUCAAGUAAUGAUCCUGCAAACAAGAGCAGCAGUUCACUAGAAGAGAUGAACGCCUCGUCGGCUGUUGUGGAUGAUCCCAUGACGGAGGAGGCAGCUCAGCAGGUUCAGAGUGAGACCUGUGAGCCGAAGACUGAACUGCUGAGGGACGACUCCUCACAGGCAAGUGACCGAGACGUCCUUUCUUCAGGAGAAUCAGAUGAUGAGAAGCUGGUCAUUGAUGAUGUGUCUCCAGCUGCACCACCCGCAACACAACCUAAGCUGAAGACCUCACCAUGCUCUCCUGACCUCCCUGUGACCCCGGCCUCUGAGACCCUCCCCGUAAAGUCACCACAGUCUUCCCCUGAGAAAGUCACAAAGCAGACGCGACUAUCCAAAAGAUCUCAGGCCGGCGACCAGCUGGGAGAGAUCCUACGCAUGCAGACAGCAAUGUUCAACACGGCAGGCAAAUGCUCCACCACUGUGCCCCAGGAGACCGCCCCAUGCACGGGACCCCCAAUUCACUCCAACCCAACGUCUUUGGUUAAACCCUGCGUGUCCUCGUACUUAGAGAGAAACCAGGACCAGGAUGGAGAGACCUGCUCCGUUCCACACAAAUCUGCACCCGGGCUUAACGUCAACACGACCGAGCACAGAAAAAUACUGUCACACGACCUGCAGGCUGGUGCAGAAGAUGAACAAGACUACCAAGCUCCAGAGGAGGGAAACCUGCUCUACAAGCUCUACAGUCUGCAAGACGUGCUGCUCCUGGUGCGCAGCUCGGUCUCACUGACUCAUUCAAGACAAGUCGGCAGCCAGAACCAGUAUGUACCAGUGCACGUGCUGCCCAAGCUGGAGUACCAGUUGAGUUAUGGCGUAGAGUGUUUAACCAGCAGCGAGGCGUGCCAGCUGUGGACAGAGACAUUGCUCCACUCCAGCACAGUUUCAUUCAUAGAGUUCAGUAGAGUCCAUGAGGCAUAUCCUCCCACAAACCAGUGGAAUAUUCUGCCGAUGAGUCACCAUCCUGCUGCGACUGAGUGCUGUUUGAGUUUACUUUGUUGCCAUAUCAACAAGCCACAUCUGAUUGUGGGGCAUUACAAAAACUGCAGUUUGUUGAGCUCUGCUAAAUGUUGUUUUUAACUUUGAUUAAAUUUCCAAAUGGAUUUAUAAUGCGUUGCUCAACCUUAGUUCAAGAAUAAGGCCGAGACACCACUGUCUUCACUGUGUGAGCUGCUUUAACUUCUGUAGAAGAUGUAUUGGAAAGUUAGUCUCUAAAUUAUAGCCCUUUGAGUCUCAGUACACACUGCGACAGAACAAGCUUAUCUACUGGUUCCUUCCACUCCGAUGUGAUGAGGAGCUCUGUCGGAAGUGGAAGUAACUCUCAAUCAAGCAUUUGAGUUUCCUUUUUAUGUUAAAAUGAUUGUUUAUUCAAUCUAAAAAAUGGACAAAGAGCAGUAUUAGAAUAGGCGGUUCGAAAACAGUGAUGAUACUCUAGACCGCUGCUCCUAAUAAUAUAGAUUAUCUACUGUUGGAUGGCAGGAGACUUGGCUGAUAUAAGAGUUCCUUCUUUAUUCAGUGGCUCCCUGUUCGUCAUGUGCUUCAUCAUUUGGCUUCUCAAUUGUGUAUUUAUGGCUGUGCAGGCUUGCAGGCGCUAAAAUAGUCUAUAAUUGAAGGAAGGCCUUUUUGAAUUCUAAGCUGUGAGUGGGAGGCAGCAGCACAGACAGGACCAGCGAGCGUUUCUUACCCCCCCAACACACACACACACAAACUCAAAGCUUGUACCAACGCUGGCAUAUCAUCAGACUAAUUACUUUGUAAGCUCCAGGAGAGUGACUGAUGAGGAGGUGAAGCUCUCCAUGUGCUCCCUCAUUAGCUCCUUCUCUCAGCGCACCUCUUGUUCCUCCCUCUCCGUCUCUGCAGCUCACAUCAAUACGCGCUCAUCUGAAGUAGCUCUGCUGAGGAAGCUGCCUGACAACUGGAAACAGAACAUCUCCUGUGGGUUCACGCCAUCCAAGUCUCUGAAUAUCCUGCACCACCUACUGAAAAAACUCACCGGGU